UACGUAGGGAGCUAGCGUUGUCCGGAAUCAUUGGGCGUAAAGCGCGCGUAGGCGGCCCGGUAAGUCCGCUGUGAAAGUCAAAGGCUCAACCUUUGAAUGUCAGCGGAUACUGCCGGGCUAGAGUCCGGAAGAGGCGAGUGGAACUCCUGGUGUAGCGGUGGAAUGCGCAGAUAUCAGGAGGAACACCGAUGGCGAAGGCAGGUCUCUGGGCCGCAACUGACGCUGAGGAGCGAAAGCAUGGGGAGCGAACAGG
rnacentral:rRNA from 1 species